UGAGGAAUAUUGGUCAAUGGGCGCAGGCCUGAACCAGCCAAGUAGCGUGAAGGAUGACUGCCCUAUGGGUUGUAAACUUCUUUUAUAUGGGAAUAAAGUUUUCCACGUUUGGAAUUUUGUAUGUACCAUAUGAAUAAGGAUCGGCUAACUCCGUGCCAGCAGCCGCGGUAAUACGGAGGAUCCGAGCGUUAUCCGGAUUUAUUGGGUUUAAAGGGAGCGUAGGUGGACAGUUAAGUCAGUUGUGAAAGUUUGCGGCUCAACCGUAAAAUUGCAGUUGAUACUGGCUGUCUUGAGUACAGUAGAGGUGGGCGGAAUUCGUGGUGUAGCGGUGAAAUGCUUAGAUAUCACGAAGAACUCCGAUUGCGAAGGCAGCUCACUGGACUGCAACUGACACUGAUGCUCGAAAGUGUGGGUAUCAAACAGG
rnacentral:rRNA from 1 species